AGAAAAUAUAAUUGGCGUAGUCAGUAGGUUAGUGCGGUCGCGAGUUUUACGCUAAGUGCGAUAAAAGUUCGGACUAAGUACUUCAGUACCUCAGCACUAAAUCCACGAGCUCAACGAGACUUCAAAUAAUUGUCCUAAUGCAGUUUUGAAGAAGUGUAUUUUUCUGUUUGGUCACCUUGGACGGGAAUACGCUCAUAGAAAUUGAAAGCAAUCAAACUUGCCAUUGAAUAUGUUGCUGAUUUUCCAAUUGGCUGUUACUGACGUGAUAAUAUAUCAUUAUAACAGCUAAUUGGUAGCUAAAGUAUCUAGUAUAUCGCCAAUUCGAGGAACCAAGAACAUAAUAAUACAAAGAAGUAAAUAAAUAAAAAUAAUAACACUUUGGAUCAACCUCAAUGUAAGUGUUGCUCAAUUCAGGACUAUGAUCAUUUUAACACAAAUGUAUAUACUAAAUGGUAUAGUUUUAAUGGAAAACCUAAUUGAUAAUUGAACAAAACAGGUGAAAGUAAAAAUGGUGUGCAGUGGGUGAGAAACUUGAUAGCAAAUUUUUAUUUCAGAUUAUGAUAUAGCUUUUCAAAAUUGUAGUCAAAACUUGAAUACUAAAUAAGGACUAGAGAAAAAUAUCCAUCAAGAGAAAUAAUGUUAAAUAAAUCUGUUUUAACAUAGACGAACUUUGGAACUGAAAUUUAUGUAUUUUAUUUUAUUCAUUUAUGUAUAGCGUAAUUAUAUCAUUUUAUAACUUUUUGUAUUGAAACCCAAAACAAUGCACGAAAUUUCUUGUUGAAAUUCAUAUAAUUUAAUCCUAAUAUUGAUAGAACCUUUAGAACUCAAGAACAUAUUAUAUUCUUAGCAGUUCACAUCCAAUUUUUUCAAGAAUCUUCUAAUUUCUUUGUAGUCGCUAUAAAGUCGGGAUUCGCGGUUUUUCAAGAUACUAUCAUCAAAACUUUUUCACCUGCAUACUUCUAAUACGCGAACAGGCUAGCGGGUAUUUGAUUUGGUCUGAAUACAUUAUGUUAUGGUCCAAAAGUUCCAGUAUUAGUUGGAUUUUACAUCAAUUAUCGCUAUCGUUUAAACUAUUAUCGUUUCUAAUGGUUUGUAUAACUAAACUCUCCAAUAACUGGGGUCUAUUCUCAAAAUUCUUCUUACAAAAUGCAAUCCAUGUUCCUUCCUCUUGCAAAUUAUUGUAUAAAGGCAUAUGUAAUUUUAUAAUUUUAAAAGUAUCAAACUCAUCCUGAUUCCAAUUAUAGCUUCUACUUUCCCUUUUCAUUUUUCCUGAAUACAUUGUAACACAUGGAUAUUAAGUUCCUAUUAAACGCUCAUACUGUGUUAUGAAUUUAUUUAUAGUAUUAUGGUCACCAUCAUAUGGCUUAAUAUGUUUCAGUUUCAGUCCCAGUCAAUUGCAAUAGGUGAUUUAAAUCGGGUCAUUUUAAAAUUAUCGCCGAAAUCUGCAUUUUUUUAACUUUUAUAUUUUCUGAUGCGGAUUCGAUAUGUAAGUUAUUGAAAUAUGUUGACACAUUUUCUAAUUCAUUGAUAUAUUGUAUAAAUGAUUAGAAUUAAAGUUUCCAUUUAAUUCGAUAAAGUUGAAUGAUAUGGUUGCAAAAAAAUAUAAAUUAUGAAUUUCUCAGAAUUUAAAAAAUGUUUUAGUGUUCUCUUAACCACUAUCUCUCCUAUACUCUUGGAAAAAGGAUAAGAAAAGACAAAUAAACUUGGCACUUACAGAAAUUUGAAGCACUGGAGUUUCUUCCGCAUUUCUUCAGCUUAUUUUUUUCUCCUUUUCACUGAAGUUGUAGGUUCUUCAGGAUUUAGACUUUAAUGUGAAAACACCGUGAUCACAUAAAGUUUUGCCAACAUGAUGCGAAAAAAAUCUUUCCACUACCCGCGCGAAUUCUACUGACUGCGUCAAUUAUGAUUUUCCGUAAUUAAAAGCAAAUCUUAAAAAACACUCAUAAAAAUGUAUUUUCAAAAAUAUGAAAUAUUGACUGAACAAUGUUUCGAAAUACAAUCAAAUUAUACAAUAAUACAAGAGUAGGAUACAGAAAUCUAAAACAGUACCUUUCGCGUCGCUAAAAAUUUCUUAAAUAUGGCUAUUUAUAAAUCACUAAACACGGAAACUAUUGUUUAGUUAAAACCAAGACAAGAACUGGGUUUCAAGAAAUUGAGCACGAGAAUUUGGUAGAAUCUUAAAGAUUUGAAAGUACCAAUAAUUAUCAGAGACCCUCUAUCACCUGACGCUGUAACGUUAACACUAGCACCAUGUAACAUUUGGCCCUAAUAAAAUAUCACUGUCUGUUAAUUUUUGAAGAUGUGACUGUUUAGUCUAAUGACAUUUGUGUCUGUAUUCAACAAGUAUUUUCAAUAUAGGUAAGUAUUACCAACUUAUAUUGAGCAAGAGUAUAAGCGAUUUAGAAAUAAUAACAAUAAAUUAUACUUACUCUGAAAUUUCCUAUUUUGUCAGCUAUCAUCCCUGCAAUUGGAGGCAUAAGAAUUGCAACUGCUGGGGUUACAGCAGACAUUAUAGCUGUUUCUUCUACAUUUAUACCGAGUUCUCUCAUAUGGAUCGUCAAAUAAGGAUACAAAACAAGGAUGGCUACAAUAAAACCCACUCGUUUUGGAAUAUAUAAUUUUUAAUAGUACAAUCGCGGAUUGAAAAAUUAAUAAAAAAGUGAAAUAGUACUUAGACAUUUUGUACUUACUGGAUGAAUGCAUAAAGAACAAUAAUUUCAAUGGUAAAAGUUCUUUCUGCUUUAAAUCUUUUACAACUCUGUAGAAUAAGAAUUUGAGGUAGUUAUUCAUCUUGAAAGGUAUUUUUCUACAAAAUCUUCAUUCAAAACUGGAAAAAAUCAUAUAGAUUAUUAGUGAGCAUGUUAAAUAUCUCACAAAAAAAAUCAGUCUUGAAUUUAACUUAUGCGAUAGCUCCAUGUUGGUCGCUAUUAGAGAAAUAAAACACAGUUCAAUAUGAAUUGAUGUUAACACUAGUCACGGGUCGCUGACCAUUUGUUUAUACAUGGUACUGAACUGUGGGCCAUCAUAACAUAAGUUGCUGAUCAACAAUUCAACAAAUACUUCAUUGAACUUGUGAUCUUUUUGAAUUAUAUAUUUUUUGUUUAGUUGCAUUUAUUUUUUGUACAUAAGACGAAUUAAUAUUGUACACCGUCAUUUUAGUUGGCUUUUUAAAAAGUAGCUUAUGUGGCGAUACCCCUUAAUUGGCGCGGUCAGUAGUAUAGUGCAAGUGAAAUUUCACUUUUGACCACUAAAAAGAACCUUUGAGAAAUAUUCAAGUCCAUCUAAAGGUGUUAAAAAGAAACAAGGAGUAAUUGAAAAUAAAUUUAAAUUGACAGGAUAAGUGAUCAUAAGUUGAGGAGAAAAAAGAAGCCUUUGGAAAACAAGUAUUAGAAUUCUGUAUUGCAAGAACAAAUUAAUACAACUUUGCGCUCGAUAAAUAAUAUAUUUAAUAGGACUUUGUUACAGCUGAAUUAGACAGAUAAAAUAGGUGAAAGAGUCUGCAUUUAAUUGACCUACAUAUGUUAUUGAAACUCUUGGAAAAUGGAAUAAGAUUUAUUUUUCAACAUACACAAACUUCGCGACUCCGAUUGUUUCAACAUGUACGCUUGAAAAAAGUUCCUCUUCUCUAAAUCUCUUCAAAACUGAUUAAAAAAACUCUACAAGCGUUAAUGUCAAGACACCCCAGAAUUAACAUCGACAGCGAGAAGGUAAUUGAUUCGUUUGCUGUAAAGGAAGCUAGACUACUUAAUUUAAUUUUGUAAUUAAAGUCCAAUAUUCUUAUUAGGGUUAUUACAAAUAUAUCAUUUGAUGAGUAACAUAAAUAGAUUUCCUUCACUAAAACAAUUUUGUUGAUUCGCCCGCCCUCUUGAAUUUUGUUUCUGGGUCUAAGACAUUGAAGAUAUCCAAGCGUAAGCUGUUUAAAUUGAAAGAAGACCUCAUUUCCAUACAUGUUCAACUGUUCAAGGAAAUAGGAAAUUUCAUUUCAAUUGAUGCAGCCGUUACCGGGCUUAUGUUGUGCUUUGUUAGAGUAUUAUGUGAAUAUUAUAUAUACUAAUAUGAUAUAAGAUAUAAGUUUCUGAUGAAGUUUUAUGAUUCUCAUUUAAAUAUAAUAGUGAAUAUAAAAGCAUAAUUAUUACUAACUAAAUAACGAAAAAACUGUUACAAGUACCUGAAAAAAAGCCAGCGUUAAACUAUUAUUUUCCGUUAAUAGAACUUGAAAUAAUUAAUAUAUAAUAAAUCAAUAUCUUUAAUUUCUACAAAAUUUCUCUCACCUGAAUAUUAUAAAAUCGCGUCUUUUAUUGCGUAUUCCUCUUGAAAGUCACUUAUAUUAAAGUUUACUCUAGUAUUUAGCAAAUUGACUUAUAAUAUACAAUUAGAAACGCAAAAAGUUUAUAAGUAGGGAUAUGCCUCACAGGAAAAAAAUGUGUACAAUUGCUAUCGUCAAAAUAAUAAUUCUUGCUUCGAUAAUUAUGUUGAUAUAAAAUAUUAAUUGUAUGAUUGUUUGCACAUACCUAUGAAAUUAACACGUGUUUGCUACAUUUCGUUGGAAUUGAAUCCUAGAAAUACGCGUACUUGAGUCCACUUAAUUUUAUGCUAAAGAGAUAAUGAUUUUAUCUGCAAAUAUUUUUAUUUAAAAAAACCAUCGUAUCAAAUAUGAAAAAAACUUCAUGUAAAAUAAUUAAUACUUAAUUUGUUGACCUUCCUCCGUUUUAUAAACAUUCCACUCAGUAUUAGCUACAUGUGUACCAUGUGUAUGGAUCAUUCCUCUAGCCUCCUAGAAAAUACUUUUCUUUUGUAUAAAAUAAUUUUUCUCUUUUCUUUCUUCAGAUAACGAUAAUUUCUAGUGUAAUAAGGCAUUUUUCAUAAAAAAAACAGGAAUUACCCUCCGAAGAUGAAAACAUCAAUGGAAUACAAAAUAGGAUUUUCUCCCUGCAUAAAAUACAACAAAUGAUAGCCAAGAUAAAGAACAGAAAAGCCUCAGGCAUUUACACCAAAUUAAAGGUAAUUUUUUUCUGUAUUUA